AUACAGAGGGGGCGAGCGUUAAUCGGAAUUACUGGGCGUAAAGCGCGCGUAGGCGGCUUAUUAAGUCAGAUGUGAAAUCCCCGGGCUCAACCUGGGAACUGCAUCUGAUACUGGUAAGCUAGAGUUUGGGAGAGGGAAGUAGAAUUUCAGGUGUAGCGGUGAAAUGCAUAGAGAUCUGAAGGAAUACCAGUGGCGAAGGCGACUUCCUGGCCUAAAACUGACGCUGAGGUGCGAAAGCGUGGGUAGCAAACGGGAUUAGAAACCCCAGUAGUCC
rnacentral:rRNA from 1 species